CCCUUUCCUUUGCACCUAUGGCCAAGCUAUUGAAAACCCAACGCCACCACUCCAAACACUACACGCCGGCGAUACUUUACUCGUAAAAUCCCACCAAAACUAACCUAAAAUCUUAUGUUUCUCCUCUAGACUCCAAAAUCAAGACCUAGAAAAGCUAAAACGCUCCCUAAAUAGUGUCUCGACAAUCCCCUUUUAAAACACCCGACCGUCUGACUCCUUCCACUCCUACAACGGUUUCCGAAGACAACAAAUCCAUAACCAAAGCUCAUUUGUUUUGUUUUUUCCGAUGCAUGGUGCUGUUGCAUGGAAUCUAUGGAGACCGUUUUUCGGGAGCUGUUGGAAUGGUUGUGGAGAUGAAACAAUCUCGGGACCACUGGUGCUGACGUGAAGUGUAGAGAGCUUAUGGAGAAGAUUCUGGAAGCUGCUGGUUUUGUUUGGACCACUGCCUGGUGAUAUGGAUGAUGAAUGCGACGGUAGAUUUAGAAACCCUAAACCACAAACAUUGGGAUUGCUCUGUAACUUGGUAGAUGAGCUUUGAAUUUGGGUAGUUGGUAUGGUUAAUGGGUCUGAAAGGUUAAUGUAGCGGGUAUGGGUUUUGGAUUAAUUUGUAAUGGGGUUUAAGUUUAUAAAUGAUAGACCGAAAUGUGAAUUUGGACA